CAGAGACUCGGCUGGGCAUGGGGGGUGGGGACAGGGCCGCGGUACCUCUGGAAAGGCAGCCGGGCAAAUGUGGAGCCUUUGGACCCCGGGCUGGAGAAGUGGCUGCGUCCCUGAAGGGUAGGGAGCUCUAAGAAUGGGCAUAAAGCCCACAAGUGACAAUGUGAAAUCCGCGAAUCAGGAAAAAUAACGCACCCCUCUGAGACAUGAGGUUCAGGCAGUGGGGACAGGGAAGAGGCCGCCUGAGGACCGCGCAGGCUGCCAAGCAGGUGAAAGCAGGCGACUCCCUGAUUAGGGACCUGCUUGCUAAAGUUCGGAUCUCCGCAGGGGUCAGGCUAGGCGAGCCCGGCGGAUAGGAGAGAUCUCUCCAGGGCAUUUCAUCUGUAGAAUGGGUGCCCGCUCUCACGGGGAGUGUGGGGUGACGCUGCAUAAUGCUUAGCACUGAGACACACAGAUUUACAAACUGCCAGAGUAAAAAUAUUAACCAUGCCCCUACGUGCUGGUUGGUGCACGCUGGGAAUCUCCGCUGAAAAGGCUGAGCAGGAGGCUCACCAGAAGUUCAAGACCAACUGGGUUACACGGUAAAUUUCAGGUUUUCUCUGCCCCCCAAGCUCCAUGACAAUUUCGAGUCAGCUUGCAUUCAGUGUGUUUCCGUGGAGGAAGAGCUGAUAUCGUUACCCUGAGGUCCCAGUCUGAGAAUGAGGUCACUGUCCCCGAUUCCUCAGGCCAGGAACCCUGCUCAACCUGCACCCCCAUCUGCACAGUUCCCGCAGUGGCCCUGUCGCUGUUUCCCAGUACACUUUCCAAGCAGCUAUUGAUGGUGGCAUCCUUGUUUUGUAACCUGCCACCUCCCCACCUCACAGUAUUUCUGUCCUCAGUGUGCCAUGUGCCUCGAUGACAAAGCAGUGGCUGAGCUGUCCCCAGCUCGGCUCUCCACCUCACAGGUUGGCCUGGGGAAAGGGACUUACAUGAAUGAAUAAAUGAAUGACUGAAUGACUCCAGAA